rnacentral:rRNA from 1 species
GAUGAACGCUGGCGGCGUGCCUGAUACAUGCAAGUCGAGCGAACGGACGAGAAGCUUGCUUCUCUGAUGUUAGCGGCGGACGGGUGAGUAACACGUGGAUAACCUACCUAUAAGACUGGGAUAACUUCGGGAAACCGUAGCUAAUACCGGAUAAUAUUUUGAACCGCAUGGUUCAAAAGUGAAAGACGGUCUUGCUGUCACUUAUAGAUGGAUCCGCGCUGCAUUAGCUAGUUGGUAAGGUAACGGCUUACCAAGGCAACGAUGCAUAGCCGACCUGAGAGGGUGAUCGGCCACACUGGAACUGAGACACGGUCCAGACUCCUACGGGAGGCAGCAGUAGGGAAUCUUCCGCAAUGGGCGAAAGCCUGACGGAGCAACGCCGCGUGAGUGAUGAAGGUCUUCGGAUCGUAAAACUCUGUUAUUAGGGAAGAACAUAUGUGUAAGUAACUGUGCACAUCUUGACGGUACCUAAUCAGAAAGCCACGGCUAACUACGUG